rnacentral:rRNA from 1 species
AUUGAACGCUGGCGGCAGGCCUAACACAUGCGAGUCGAGCGGAUGAAGGGAGCUUGCUCCUGGAUUCAGCGGCGGACGGGUGAGUAAUGCCUAGGAAUCUGCCUGGUAGUGGGGGAUAACGUCCGGAAACGGGCGCUAAUACCGCAUACGUCCUGAGGGAGAAAGUGGGGGAUCUUCGGACCUCACGCUAUCAGAUGAGCCUAGGUCGGAUUAGCUAGUUGGUGGGGUAAAGGCCUACCAAGGCGACGAUCCGUAACUGGUCUGAGAGGAUGAUCAGUCACACUGGGACUGAGACACGGUCCAGACUCCUACGGGAGGCAGCAGUGGGGAAUAUUGGACAAUGGGCGAAAGCCUGAUCCAGCCAUGCCGCGUGUGUGAAGAAGGUCUUCGGAUUGUAAAGCACUUUAAGUUGGGAGGAAGGGCAGUAAGUUAAUACCUUGCUGUUUUGACGUUACCAACAGAAUAAGCACCGGCUAACUUCGUG